GACGAACGCUGGCGGCGUGCUUAACACAUGCAAGUCGAACGGAAAGGCCCUGCUUUUGUGGGGUGCUCGAGUGGCGAACGGGUGAGUAACACGUGAGUAACCUGCCCUUGACUUUGGGAUAACUUCAGGAAACUGGGGCUAAUACCGGAUAGGAGCUCCUGCUGCAUGGUGGGGGUUGGAAAGUUUCGGCGGUUGGGGAAGGACUCGCGGCUUAUCAGCGUGUGGGUGGGGUAGUGGCUUACCAAGGCUUUGACGGGUAGCCGGCCUGAGAGGGUGACCGGCCACAUUGGGACUGAGAUACGGCCCAAACUCCUACGGGAGGCAGCAGUGGGGAAUAUUGCACAAUGGGCGGAAGCCUGAUGCAGCAACGCCGCGUGCGGGAUGACGGCCUUCGGGUUGUAAACCGCUUUCGCCUGUGACGAAGCGUGAGUGACGGUAAUGGGUAAAGAAGCACCGGCUAACUACGUG
rnacentral:rRNA from 1 species